GCCUUCUUAGCUCAGAUGGUAGAGUGUUCCACUCGUAUGUAUUGACCGAAAUUCAAAGUGGUAAUGGAAAGGUCGCUAGUUCGAUUCUGGCAGGAGGCA